CUUGCUUGGGAAUGCAGGUCAAAAUGGGUGGUAAACUUCAUCUAAAGCUAAAUAUUGGCGAGAGACCGAUAGCGAACAAGUACUGUGAGGGAAAGAUGGAAAGCACUUUGAAAAGAGAGUGAAAAAGGGCCUGAAAUUGUUAAGAGGAUAAGGGGUUGGAGCAUAUCAUAUCUCAAGUAUUCCAGAGUGCCCUCGGGCGCUUUACUUGCUUGGGGUUGGUCAGCAUCUAUUCCUGGCGGGGGAGAAGACAUGGCCUGAUUCUUUCGGGAGGACGGACGUGAGAAACCCUGUUGGGGAUAGAGGCACAAAGAGCGCGCAUAGCGACCGGCCCUCUGUGCGGGGGCAUGCGAGUGAAUGAUCCAUUGGUAUCUUAACUCGUGUGUUUCUGACGCAGGGGAGCGCUGGAUCAGCGUUCUUAAGAUGCUGGCACAAAUGGCUUCAACCCGCCCGUCUUGAAACACGGACCAAGGAGUCUAACACAUAUGCGAGUAGUAAGGUGGCAAACCUUGGAUGCGCAAUGAAAGUAACGUGGUGGGAUUCUUCGGAUGCACCAUCAACCGACCUGAUCAGCAUUUUGCGAAAGGUUUGAGUAAGAGCAUAUAUGUUGGGACCCGAAAGAUGGUGAACUAUGCCUGAAUAGGGUGAAGCCAGAGGAAACUCUGGUGGAGGCUCGUA
rnacentral:rRNA from 1 species